rnacentral:rRNA from 1 species
UACGAAGGGUGCAAACGUUGCUCGGAAUUAUUGGGCGUAAAGCGCACGUAGGCGGCUUAGCAAGUCCCAUGUGAAAGCCCACGGCUUAACCGUGGAAGUGCAUGGGAAACUGCUGAGCUUGAGUACUUAAGAGGAUCGCGGAAUUCCCGGUGUAGAGGUGAAAUUCGUAGAUAUUGGAAAGACCACCAAUGGCGAAGGCACUCUACUGGGCCAUUACUGACACUGAGAGACGAAAGCUAGGGGAGCGAAUGGG